rnacentral:lncRNA from 1 species
UAUUUUCCACCAAGAAAAAAGCCUUUACCAACUUGAAAAGGAAAUGAUCUAGUUAUUUUUUUAAUGUAUGCCUCAUGUGUUAGAAAAUGUAAGGUGUAUUACCAACCAAGAAGAAGUGCUAUUCCUAGAUGACGGGAAAAGAACCCUGUGUCUUAUUCAGGACUAUUAAGAUUCUGUUUGUUUGUUUUCAGGGUUAAAGAAGUUGUACUAAAAGAAGACCUGGAAAAGCUAGAAAGUAUGAGGCAGCAGCAGCCCCAGUUUUCUCAUGGGCAAAAGGAGGAGCUGGCUAAGGUGUAUAAUUGGAUUCAAAGCCAGACUGUCACUCAAGAAAUCGACAUUCAAGCCUGUGUCACUUGUGAAAAUGAAGAUUCAGCUGAUGGUGCGGCCACAUCCUGUGGUCAGGUUCUGGUAGAAGACAGCUGUUGAGUGACUGUGAGGAUGAACCUUCAUACCCUUUCCAAGACGUGUUACACAGACAGACCUUUUUAAGUCCUGGACUUUUAAAUGACCAUGAAGUUAUCAUUGAAUGUUAAGAUUUUUUCUUCUUGAUUUUUU